rnacentral:lncRNA from 1 species
GAAACUUUUAAGAGGAUAAAAUUCUAGGGAACAAAGUUGAAAUUUUAGUGAUGAAAUUGGAACGAAAAUAAAAUUUUGCUCAUAGUUGAGUGACCUCCAUAGCUCAACAAACCUAACCACAUUCUCUUUCUCGCACACCCAACCACCGCAAAAUAAUCUCCGCUCUCUUUAAGGCUCAAGCCUUCGACACUUGCCCAUCUUAGAAUCAUCAGCAAUGACUCCUUUUCACAGCAGAUCCAUAUUCACCUCAUUAUUGCUGAUUUCUCUACUGUUUUCCAAAUGGGUCUCUGCGGAAGAUGAUGUAAAGUGUUUGCAAGAGCUGAAGAGUUCAUUCAAUGACCCAGAAGGGAAGCUCAACACUUGGAGCUUUUCAAAUUCAUCCGUGGGAUUCAUUUGCAAGUUCGUUGGUGUUUCGUGCUGGAAUGACCGUGAAAAUCGUCUUAUCAGCCUCGAGCUCAGGGACUUUAACCUUACAGGAAAAAUCCCAGAUUCUUUACAGUAUUGUCACAGCCUCCAGACCCUGGAUCUAGCUGGUAACAGUCUUUCCGGUUCAAUCCCACGUCAAAUCUGUAAUUGGUUGCCUUAUAUGGUCACUUUGGAUAUAUCCCAUAAUGAUUUGACCGGUCAAAUACCUUCAGAUCUUGUUAACUGUGCGUAUUUGAAUAAUUUGAUUUUAGAUGAUAACAAAUUGUAUGGGAAUAUACCCUAUGAGAUUUCUAAUCUAGGAAGGUUGAAAAAAUUUUCAGCUGCAAAUAACGAUUUAUCUGGGAGGGUGCCCUCGUUUCAGUAUGAUUUGUUGGAGCUUGAUUUGAGUGGGAAUAGUGGGCUUUGUGGAGGACCCUUGGGAAAAUGUGGUGGAUUGAGUAAGAAAAAUUUGGCUAUUAUUAUUGCAGCUGGGGUUUUUGGUGCCGCAGCUUCGUUGUUGUUAGCUUUUGGUUUGUGGUGGUGGUAUUUUACCAGAUCUAGUAAAAGAAGGAAGAGAGGUUAUGGGAUUGGUGGAAGAGAUGACGGAAGUGGGUGGGCCGAGAUAUUGAGGGCUCACAAGCUUACUCAGGUUAUGUUGUUUCAGAAACCACUAGUGAAGCUAAAGUUGGUCGAUUUGUUGGCUGCCACAAGUAAUUUUAGUGCCGAGAACGUUAUAGUCUCCACUAGAACGGGGAUUACUUACAAUGCUGUGUUACCUGAUGGAUCAGCUCUUGCAAUUAAGCGGCUUAGUACAUGUGAGUUGGGGGAAAAGCAGUUUCGGUUGGAGAUGAAUAGGUUAGGGCAGCUAAGGCAUCCAAAUUUGGUUCCACUGUUGGGGUUUUGCGUAGUGGAGGAUGAGAAGCUAUUGGUUUACAAGCAUUUAUCAAAUGGGACUCUGGGUUCCAUGUUGAACGGGAACGCAGAUUUGUUGGAUUGGCCAACGAGGUUUAGGAUUGGAUUGGGUGCUUCGAGGGGGCUUGCUUGGCUUCAUCAUGGUUGCAACCCUCCGAUUUUGCACCAGAAUAUUAGCUCCAACGUGAUUCUUCUCGAUGAGGAUUUGGAUGCUCGGAUAAUGGACUUUGGAUUGGCAAGACUCAUGACUACUUCCGAAUCUAAUGAGAGUAGCUUUGUCCAUGGGGAUUUAGGUGAAUUUGGAUAUGUAGCACCCGAGUACUCAAGUACAAUGGUUGCUUCACCUAAAGGAGAUGCUUAUAGUUUGGGAGUAGUGCUACUCGAGUUAGCUACUGGGCAGAAACCUCUUGGUGUGAGUACUGCCGAUGAAGGAUUUAAGGGUAACUUAGUCGACUGGGUAAUCAUGCUUUCUAAUUCCGGUCGAAUUAAAGAUGCUAUUGAUAAGCGCCUAUGUGGAAAAGGGCACGAUGAGGAAAUUGUACGAUUCUUAAAAAUUGCAUGUAACUGUGUGGUUUCUCGCCCAAAGGAUAGGUGGUCCAUGUAUCAGGUCUAUGGAUCACUGAAGAGCAUGGCUGAAGAACAAGGUUUAUCCGAUCAUUACGAUGAAUUUCCGUUACUAUUUGGGAAACAAGAGAUCACUAGUCCUUGAACAUUUCUGCACACUGAGAUAAGUUCCCAGGAGCAAGUGAUGUGAUAAUCGAUUAGCUUUGGGCAACACAUUCUAUAUUUGCUGGGUAUAUCUGUAUAAAUAAACUGAUAUGUUUAUCGAAACAUUCUGUUUGAUUGAAAUUUUUGUGAGGUUACUGUGGUUCUAAAUGUGUGUAAUACGCUGUUUUCUUAAUAGUCCUUUGAUAUUUUGCAUUGAAGAUCAUAAAUUGAAUUGUUAUUCAGGCUUUGACAAUGAUCCUCUUUAUCAUGUUUGCUGUAUGGGGGAAAAAUUAUACGGUCCUCAAUGUGAUUAUGUGAUAGAUUACACUACUAAGCACUUUUGAGAGAUGAAGUCUUAUUCAUGUUUUGUUAGUCUUACUCUUUUAUUCAAGUUUUUUGUUAGUUAGUUCAAGGAGGAGAAAUUGAGAAAGAAUCACGAGAUCGUAGAACCCUUUAGUUAGUCGCGUUAGAACCAAGUAAAUACUUGGCCAAAGAACUCUGCAGGUCGGGGAAAAAAAGAGUUACACCACGAAAUCGUAAGCCCCGUUCAGUUAGCCGCAUUAGGACCAAGUGAAUGACUGUGAUAUAAUCGGCCAAAGAACUCCGAUCUUGGGCAAUUAGGGCUCCACACACGUCUCAGCCCAUUGCACGGUGGCAAUAUUGCCCGUUGACACGGAGGCCACCCGUUCCUGGGUUUGCAUCUCUGCAAUUCAUGGCCCGGGGACUUUCCUGGGGCUUGAACCAGCCCGAUGCAGGUUCAUACCCCGUUCACUCCGUUUCGUGGCGGAGUUGGGCUGUGUCUCACAUAUUUCGUAUAUAAACCCGUUUUUUAAUUCUUCUCCAUCCGAUGUGGGACGCGACCCAAAUUUUCGCUGAGGCCCAACCGCCUCAAUUAAUUAAAUUGAAGGAAAGUUUAAUAAAAGUGGCCCAAAAAAUACUCAACCGCUCUGAAAAUCCACGUCGACCCCACCUUUAAAUUUUAAGCCGCGAAAAAAUAUAAUUCUAAAGCUAGCUAUAAACAAGAUAUGUUAAAAUAAUAUAUUUGGUGUAUUUUAUUGAAUCUGAUCUCUAGAAGCAAGAAACUGACAUUAUUUUUAACAUAAUUAUAUUUGAUUUUCUAAACAUGUGUGUUAAACUUAAAUUUGUUGAAUAUUUCCAUGUCUAAAUGUAAUUGUCGAGGUCUGUAAAUCUUCGUUAAGUCAAUAAACACGACAUUAAGUCAAAUUUCGUAUUUUACUUUUUGCAUAGUUAAAGUUAGAGUUAUUCUACACAUACAGACAUUUAAGUGUACAGAAUACUCACGUCAGAUUUUUUGGCAAUAAAAUAUUCAUGUGGGGCCCAUUCGUUUUAUGAGAUCUGUACACAUUCUGUACACUCGGAAUUUUUGUUAAAGUUAAUCAUGUAUCCAUGUUGAAAAAUUAUCCCGACCAUAAUCAAGUUUUAAGGAAAAAUAUAUAAUUACCUUACUUUCAAUUACAAUUUCAAAAAUAACAAACUUAAUGAAAUCUUUAAAAAAUUACACAAGGUCAUGGUCAAUUAUUGUUAAUUAUUUAACAAGCCACGGUGGUAAUAAACACAUAAUUCAUGGCCACGUCUAUAUACUAGUCACAAAUCACACGAGAUCAUACAUACAAUUUGUCUAUCAAAAUUACAUUGCUGGGCUGUGCCAAGCAGCCACCUCAGGAUCGUGGCAUGCUUACGCCUUUGGGUAGGAUUAAUUCACAUGUAUCUUGAUCGAAAAAUAAAAUAAAAAUAAAAAUAACGAUAAAAGGAAUAGUAUCUUCGUUAACGAUAAUUUACGUCAUUAUUAAGAGAUUAACGGUAUUGUUCAUGUCCUAUCAACAGUAAUAUAUCACUACCAACAAUAUAUAUAUCAUUUUCGAUUAAGUAUUAUUAUUUUAUUAUCAUUUUUCUUUUAAACAAUAAUAGACGUGGUCAUAUCAUUAGAAUUAAUCACACGUCUCCAUAAAAAUAUUGUUAAAUUAUACUCGAGUGUUACCUCUAAGCACGACAAAUAAAUCAAUUGACCAGAGCUAAAAUUUCACAUUUCGAUGAGGUAGAAAAUUUUAACUAAUUGUAUAUAGAUCUUUAUCUUAACAAUUUCAUAUUGAUGUGGUACAAAAUAUUGAAAGUUAAGGUACUUGUGUUGUCGUGAUUGGUUAUUAUUAUAGUUCUUGAUUAGUUAAAAAUAAAAAAUAAAAUAAAAUAAAAUAAAAGAUGCUCAUGCAACAUCGUGACGGCAUUCUAUUCUACCUCAAUGUUAGUUUUUUGUCUGGGUCUCCCACCAUUGUGUUACUUAUGUCGUCGCAUUAUUUUUUUCAUGUAUGGAAUUUAUGAAUAGAAACAAAAUAUAUUAAUUAACAAAAAAUUUUUGGUAACUUAUUUUGAUGCACCCAAGAUAAUUUUUUAAUUAAUUAAUUAAUCAAUAGAAUACCAUGAAAACCUAAAUUCCAGGUAUUUGGCUAACCACGAUAGUGUCAAAUACCAAAAUUUAAGGAAAACAAUUUGAAAAAGAGCUCCUUCUAUCGCAUACGAAACAAAAGUUAAUUAACAAACGCAAUUCUUUCUUUCUUUUUUCCUCCCUUUAUUGGGAUGUGUAUAUUUUUGUUGAAAUAUUAUUAUUCGUUCCAUACGUCGAAUUUGAUAUAGUGGGGUUCAAAGGUUGACAACAAAGAGCUUUGUUCAUGGACCGGAUGUAUCUGCGAAAUUUGAGAAAAUUAAACAAGAGAUGCAAAUUAUGAGAAACGAGAAAUUUUUGAACAGUAAAAGAUAUUGUAUAUAUGGAGGACUUGCUAUGCAUCAUAAGAGAGCAUGAUGCAAUUGAUAGGAGAUUUCAUUUGCGAUUUGGAAGAAAGAAACCAAGAUUAAGGAAAAGAGACGUAGACAUAAUUUGAAAAUCUGUCUUUGAAUUUUCAAGGAGAGGCCAACAUAAGCUUCAUAAGAACGGCACUACCUAGUGGUAGGAACAAAGAGCAAAUCAAAGUCAUCUUGUUCACAGCGGAUAUGCUUCUGUACCACUGCAUUUUUCUUUUCACGAAAGAUAGAUCUAAAUCUACUAUCACUAAUACGCAGAAUCGAAUCCAUAUGAUUUCUAUUCUGCAGACUAGAAAAGAAGGGUACUUGCUCGAGCCAAGCCAUAAGUAAGAAAGAAGAAUUGAAUUAAAAAAAAAAAAAAUACUCAGGCCACAUAAACUUACACUCGAAUCUCUCUCUAAACAAGUUAAGAGUUCUCAACUUAAAUAAACAAAAAAAAAAUUUCGAUCGGCAGAUUUAAACUGAAUAGAAUAGUAUAAUCUAUGUAUCCGAGUUGAACAAUCUUGUUUUGAAAGUCUCUUUUUAUGCUUGACCAAGCUUGCAGUUUGCGCAAGCUUUAAUUUUUCGAAAAAUCAACUAAAAGUUUAAUUUUGAAGUGACUCAAUGCACUUUACACUCCUAACUUAACCUUCCAACUAAAGUCCAUUUUUUUUAUUUAUUAAUUUAGCUCUUGUUUGAUCCCCAUUUUGAAAGAAAUAAUGCAUUUUGAAUAGUAGAUUGAUGGAGAAUGUGUGGUUAAAAGUUAAAAAAAAGUUUUGAAUUUGCGUGUAAUAUUAUUUUAUUGAAAUAUGUGUGGUUGAAAAUGAGUUUUGAAAAAAAUGAAUUAUUAGAAGAAUGAGAAUCAAAUAUGGCUUUAAUAUAGAAGCCAAAAUUGAUAUUUAAUUAAUCCCCAGAACCAAACACUACAAAACUUGCACUAAAUUUAUAUGUGAUUCCCUUCCAAGGGCAUCUAAAGUAGAAUCAAUAGAAUUUGAUAACAAUUUAAAAACCUCCGAAAAUAUUCACUAUUUUCUUGAGUCGUUUUACAUGAACAAAGAAGACCUAGCUCUAAUAUUUCUCGGAAUAACAAACAAUACAUGAAGAAAUCCGAUCCCAGCCAUUGGAUUAAAGAUCGAAUCAUCGAGCCGUUGAUCUGGCAAUUAAAUAUGAACCACUGACCACGUCUGUCGUUUCAUCUUCCAAGGCCCAGCUUAUACCAUGAUUCUCACGCCCGCCAAUACGCCUAGGUAGCGAGAAGCACACCCACGACAGUUAUCAUUGCACAUUAAAUGUGGUGAUGGUUGCGUGUAUGAGAACUUGAACCAUUGUUAGCUUUCUUUUUUGGGAAUCUUGACGACAACUAAUCAUUUUAGCAUUAUGCCUCACCACUUCGACAUAUAAGUACAACUACAACUUCGGAACAAAUGAGCGUCGGUUUAGGCAAGUUUCCUCAAAGUGUGGCCUUGAGGGCGGCUCGGUUAACCAAAAACUCUAAUUUUCACAUAAAUGUUCACAAAUUAGACUUGGGUGACUAUAUUGUUAUGCAAUUAAAUUUUCUUUUCCUUAUGAAAUACAAAUUCUAUGUAUCACAUGAAUGAUUAUACAUAAAUUUCAAAGACUAUUAUUACUAAUCAUAAGUAGUACUCUCAAUGGGACCACGUGGGAGCCCUGUGAGUAUACAUGUGACAACUAAUCAAGGGUAAAGAGAGGGUUAUGGAAAUGCUUUUAUCAACAGUCGAGGUCAUAAUGUUGAAGUUCUCCGAAGUGGUCUCUUUUUCCUUGUUCAACCGAGGUGGCUUUUGUAGGUAUAUAUUAUAGAAUCAAAUCAAACCGAAGGCAUGUGUAUUCACAGUUUCCUUAAAUCGAAUUCGCCUCCUCACCGGAGUGCAAGAGGUUUUGAUCGGUGUUUGAUUCCCAAAAUACAAUCGGUUGUCGGUUUACGCUGCAUUACGUUAACCGCCUGCGAACUAGCUGUGAUAUACUCUAUCUCACAAAGAAAUUAUAAGCACAAGGAAGAGCUUGAAAGUGAGAAGAAGAAGAUUGUUGUUUAGAGGAAGAAACUUGCAUUUCACUUGUAAUUUCCCAACCUAGAGAGACUCCAAUUUAUACCAGUGGAGGAAAAGCUAGCUCAUUAAUCAAGGAGUUAAACCAUUCAUUGAUAAAAGAGUUAAAAAUAUGAAGGGACUUGAGUUACUUGAGUUACAAUAUAUGAAGAGAUUUCUAUUCAAUAUUUUUCAUUCAAUUCUAACAGCUUUCUCCUUUUUGCCGAACCCCUUCACAUCCAAAGUUCAUAACGUCCAAAAAAGGGUCUGAUAGGCAUAUCUUUAGAAUUGAUUGAUGUGACAUUCUCAUUAACAGCCUGUUUGGGAGUGAUUUUGAGAAUUGAUUUUUUGACCGUUAGAAGAAAAGUGGGGUCCACCUGUAAGAGAAGAAGUCAAAUAUGAUGGCUGAAAUAGUGAAAUAACGGUCAAAAAAUCGGGCCCAAACAGGCCCUAAAUAGAUGUCAGGAAUGUCAGCCUAGAAAUGUGGAACGAUUGACCCCUUGUCAACUGUCUAUCAAUGUAAUUAAUAUGAGAUAGGAUAAUGCGAUAGUAGGGUCUAGCAAAUCAGGCCAUGUGGAUUUGAUCCAAUAGUGACCACGUCAGCCACCAUAUAAAUAGCGAUAUUUGUAACAUUUUAGGGGGAUGAUUUUUCAGACAUAUGAGAAGCAUUGUAUUUUUCUCUCUACAUAAACCGACUCAAUGUUCCAUAUAUUCUUCUUCUACAAGAGUAUGUUUUACUUAUUUUAAACAUAUUUGAUCAGCAAUCAAAUAAGUGUUUAAGCUUACAAUCGACAUAUUGAGGAAUACGUCCAUGUGUGCAUCAUUUUGAACGACAUCUACUAGCACGUUUUUGGAGGUCAACAAUAAUAAUAACAAUAAUAAAAAACGAGUUGAAAUAUGCAUUAGUUGUGCUAUCCCAGCGAUCAUCAUUUGCUUCCGGAAGUGGGGAGAUACACCCCCUCUGCCGCCAACCAAACGUUAUAAGCUAUCUUUUCCCAGACACCACAAACCUGCAACGUAUGCAAGGGAGUUGUCGUUAAGGAUGUUACAUAAUGAAAACUGGCAUGAUAUUAUUGAAUACUAUAAUGACUUCAUAUUGAUAUCAACUCUUGCUGUCCGCCAGCUAUACGGGUGUAUUUCUUGUCAUGAUUGUGUAGGUAUCCACCAGUGUCUACGCGAUGAAGUUUCACCCUUUGGUCUUGCCUCCAAGUCUUUCCAUUCCCUCAAUCUCUAUUCUAAAGCACAACAAUGCAUAUAAGAUAAAUAUCACGUGAAAUACAUGAACACUGUGUGAAAAAAUUUCUUGACCAUAUUUCUUCGAACUGAGAUAAGUUCCCAGGAGCAAGUGAUGUGAUAUUCGAUCAGCUUUGGUUCCGUAUUUGCUGAAUUUAUCUGUAUAAAUUAACUGAUACGAAACAUUCUGUUUGAUUGAAAUUUUUGUGAAGUUGCUGUGGUUCUAAAUGUGUGUAAUACGCUGUUUUCUUAAUAGUCCUUUGAUAUUUUGCAUUGAAGAUCAUAAAUUGAACUGUUAUUCAGGCUUUGACAAUGAUCCUCUUUAUCAUGUUUGCUG